rnacentral:rRNA from 1 species
UACGGAGGUCUCAAGCGUUGUUCGGAUUCAUUGGGCGUAAAGGGUGUGUAGGUGGCGCCGUAAGUCGGGUGUGAAAUUUCGAGGCUUAACCUCGAAACUGCAUUCGAUACUGCGGUGCUUGAGGACUGGAGAGGAGACUGGAAUUCAUGGUGUAGCAGUGAAAUGCGUAGAGAUCAUGAGGAAGACCAGUGGCGAAGGCGGGUCUCUGGACAGUUCCUGACACUGAGACACGAAAGCGUGGGGAGCAAAAAGG